rnacentral:rRNA from 1 species
GACGAACGCUGGCGGCGUGCUUAACACAUGCAAGUCGAACGAUGAAGCCGGAGCUUGCUCUGGUGGAUUAGUGGCGAACGGGUGAGUAACACGUGAGUAACCUGCCCUUGACUCUGGGAUAAGCGUUGGAAACGACGUCUAAUACCGGAUACGAGCUAGGACCGCAUGGUCACUAGCUGGAAAGAACUUCGGUCAAGGAUGGACUCGCGGCCUAUCAGCUAGUUGGUGAGGUAACGGCUCACCAAGGCGACGACGGGUAGCCGGCCUGAGAGGGUGACCGGCCACACUGGGACUGAGACACGGCCCAGACUCCUACGGGAGGCAGCAGUGGGGAAUAUUGCACAAUGGGCGCAAGCCUGAUGCAGCAACGCCGCGUGAGGGACGACGGCCUUCGGGUUGUAAACCUCUUUUAGCAGGGAAGAAGCGCAAGUGACGGUACCUGCAGAAAAAGCACCGGCUAACUACGUGCCAGCAGCCGCCGUAACAC